UAGGGCAGAGGUGGAAGUGCAGCAAUGCAUGGAGCUGACUGUUACUAAUCGGUCGAGGGCUUGACCUGAACA
rnacentral:rRNA from 7 species